GGCAGUGGUGGCUGAAGGGUUAAGGCUCUGGGUUACUGAUCGGGAGGUUGGGGGUUCAAGCUCCAGCACUGUCA